GCUGGGAUAGCGAAGUGGUCAAACGCAUCAGACUGUAAAUCUGCCGGCUCACGCCUUCGCAGGUUCGACUCCUGCUCCCAGCACCA
rnacentral:tRNA from 1 species